AGUGUGUUGGCAGACUAGUGCAACUGAUUUAGGAUCAGCCCAUGGGAUAGCCCACACACUA
rnacentral:tRNA from 1 species